GUUGCAGUUGUAGCCAAAGUUAGACGGGGACGUGUAGUAGAAGACGAGAAGUCGUCACUGUCCAUAUCUGGACACAAUAAACAGGAGUGUGUUGGAUUUUGACUUUGAAAAGCUCUGCUCCAUCUCUCUCUCCCACAUCAAUGUCUAUGCAUGCCUUAUAUUUGGGAAAUAUUUUCAAGGUCGAGGCCUCAAGUCCCAUACUCACAGUGUACAGUUUACCCAUCAUGUUUUCCUCAACCUUCACACACUCAAGUUUUAUUGUCUACCUGACAACUAUGAGAUCAUUGACUCAUCACUAGAAGACAUCACGUAUGUACUCAAACCAACAUUCAAGAUUCAAGAUUCAAGAUUCAAGAUCGGGUUUAUUUGUCAUAUGCACUUUCAACACAGGGUCUACAAUGCAAUGAAAUGCUUGGGAUGGGGGGACCGUAGACUCGCUGGGGUAACAUAGAACACACAGUACUAGCAGCAUGCGAUACUACUACAGGGAAUAAGGUAAGGAAUAGAGGGAGAAAGGGGGAAUAGUGACAGUGCAGGCAGUGCAGGAGUAGUGCGACACAAGAUAAGGACAUCUAAGUACAACACAGGUAAGAGCAUUAACACACGGGGUAAGAACUUGUAGAAACACCAGGGCAAAAACAUAACACGGGAUUGGAACAUACGCACACACAGGGACAUAGGUUAUUGCACAUAUUGACGUAGUUAUUGCACAUGUUGUCGUAGUUAGAAGUUAUUGCACAA